rnacentral:rRNA from 1 species
AUUGAACGCUGGCGGCAUGCUUUACACAUGCAAGUCGAACGGUAACAGGCCGCAAGGUGCUGACGAGUGGCGAACGGGUGAGUAAUGCAUCGGAACGUGCCCAGUCGUGGGGGAUAACGCAGCGAAAGCUGCGCUAAUACCGCAUACGAUCUAUGGAUGAAAGCGGGGGACCGUAAGGCCUCGCGCGAUUGGAGCGGCCGAUGUCAGAUUAGGUAGUUGGUGGGGUAAAGGCUCACCAAGCCAACGAUCUGUAGCUGGUCUGAGAGGACGACCACGCACACGGGGACUGUGACACGGCGCAGACUCCUACGGGAGGCAGCAGUGGGGAAUUUUGGACAAUGGGCGCAAGCCUGAUCCAGCAAUGCCGCGUGCAGGAAGAAGGCCUUCGGGUUGUAAACUGCUUUUGUACGGAACGAAGCGGUCCUGGUUAAUACCUGGGGCUAAUGACGGUACCGUAAGAAUAAGCACCGGCUAACUACGUGCCAGCCGCCGCGGUAAAAC